GCGGCCGUGAGCCUGCUGGAGUGCGGGGGGGACAUCCAGCCCCCCGGGGGGUCCCUGCGCCUCCUCUGCCGAAGGUCCGGGUUCAGUUUCGGCAGUUUUAGGAUGGGCUGGGUUCGACAGAUUCCUGAGAACGGGCUGGAAUCGGUGGCAAGGAUCAGCAAAGGUGGCAGCGCCUACUAUGCGGAUUCGGUCAAGGGCCGGUUCACGAUCUCCAGGAACAACGGGCAGAGCUCGGUGACGAUGACCAUGAACAACCUCAAGGACGAGGAUUCCGUAUCCUAUUUCUGUAGACCCAGGCAGGGUCUGGAAAUGGUGGCAGGGAUCAGCAGAAGAAGUGGCAGCAUCUUUUACGCGGACUCGGUCAAGGGCCGGUUCACAUUGACGAGUGACAACGGGCAGAGCUCGAGACCCGGGCAAGCGCUGGAGUGGGUUGGGAGCAUCAGGAAGGUGGACUGGAGCUCCAUGUACGUGCCGUCGGUGCAGGAUCAGUUCACAAUCUCCAGGGACAACGGGCAGAGCUCGCUCCCGGCCUCAAAUCUCAGCUCCUGA